rnacentral:rRNA from 1 species
UGCAGUCGAACGAACUCUGGUAUUGAUUGGUGCUUGCAUCAUGAUUUACAUUUGAGUGAGUGGCGAACUGGUGAGUAACACGUGGGAAACCUGCCCAGAAGCGGGGGAUAACACCUGGAAACAGAUGCUAAUACCGCAUAACAACUUGGACCGCAUGGUCCGAGUUUGAAAGAUGGCUUCGGCUAUCACUUUUGGAUGGUCCCGCGGCGUAUUAGCUAGAUGGUGGGGUAACGGCUCACCAUGGCAAUGAUACGUAGCCGACCUGAGAGGGUAAUCGGCCACAUUGGGACUGAGACACGGCCCAAACUCCUACGGGAGGCAGCAGUAGGGAAUCUUCCACAAUGGACGAAAGUCUGAUGGAGCAACGCCGCGUGAGUGAAGAAGGGUUUCGGCUCGUAAAACUCUGUUGUUAAAGAAGAACAUAUCUGAGAGUAACUGUUCAGGUAUUGACGGUAUUUAACCAGAAAGCCACGGCUAACUACGUGCCAGCAGCCGCGGUAAUACGUAGGUGGCAAGCGUUGUCCGGAUUUAUUGGGCGUAAAGCGAGCGCAGGCGGUUUUUUAAGUCUGAUGUGAAAGCCUUCGGCUCAACCGAAGAAGUGCAUCGGAAACUGGGAAACUUGAGUGCAGAAGAGGACAGUGGAACUCCAUGUGUAGCGGUGAAAUGCGUAGAUAUAUGGAAGAACACCAGUGGCGAAGGCGGCUGUCUGGUCUGUAACUGACGCUGAGGCUCGAAAGUAUGGGUAGCAAACAGGAUUAGAUACCCUGGUAGUCCAUACCGUAAACGAUGAAUGCUAAGUGUUGGAGGGUUUCCGCCCUUCAGUGCUGCAGCUAACGCAUUAAGCAUUCCGCCUGGGGAGUACGGCCGCAAGGCUGAAACUCAAAGGAAUUGACGGGGGCCCGCACAAGCGGUGGAGCAUGUGGUUUAAUUCGAAGCUACGCGAAGAACCUUACCAGGUCUUGACAUACUAUGCAAAUCUAAGAGAUUAGACGUUCCCUUCGGGGACAUGGAUACAGGUGGUGCAUGG